UGCCCUGCUUCAGUUUAUGGAUCAACAUCCGCGGUGGGCAAAGGAUCACAAGCGCCUCCACGGAAGCUUUCGCGUAGUUCUAGGCUUCGAGGAAAAUGGUGAUGCCGAUUUAUCCUACUAGUUGCUGAAUGCUGAUAAGUGUUACUGUUUAGUUGCCUACAUCUACAUGCCUUGCUAUGUUUUGUUGUUUUUAUCUGAGGAUGUGCCUUUUAGUAAUUAGCUAGCGAUCCCUCCAAAGACUCUGUGCUUUGUUAAUCCUGCGUUGAGAUGUUUGGAAUCUAUCGUUUGUUUUGUAGGACGCCACGAAGCAGAUCAAGUUCUUGACCUACAACGUGUGGUCGCGGGAGGAUGUCUUCGUCUACAAGAGGAUGCGGGCCAUCGGUGCCCUCGUGGAGAAGCACAACCCGGAUGUGAUCUUCUUCCAGGAAAUCAUGCCGUACAUCCGGAGCAUCUUUGAGGACCGCCCAUGGUGGAAGAAGUACCACUGCUCCCCGGUGCCCCCUGAAGAACAGGCAGCCAACAGUCCUUCUG